rnacentral:misc_RNA from 1 species
GUAGGUGAACCUGCGGAAGGAUCAUUAACACGAAUUUAUUAUCCAAUAUCAAAACCAAACGUGAACUUUUCCCCUCCCUAUAUUAUGAUAUUCUUUAUCAUAGUAUAGGCUAAACCAUAUUUUAAUUUUAAACCCCUUUAACUUAACUUGUUUCAACACUGUUUGAAACAGCUAACACUAAAGAAAAUUAAGUUAUUCGAAAGAGUAUACUUUAAAUUUUUUUUCGAUUUACGAAAUAAAAUGAUUAAAA